AUAUCCACCUCCGAUCCCCAUCACUCACGAUCUCGAUUUAGGGGCGUGAUGCUGCGACGGCGGACGGCGGUGUAGUGCUGACGAUGAAGGAGAUAGAUGGAGCAGACUGUUUCCAAAGACACGAAAGCUGCGUCGGGUGAGUCGGCAACAUCUCAUCUUCCUCCGAGCCGUAGGAUUGGCUUCCUCUUCCUCCGCGAUGUGGACGAGGCGGUUACGGAGGCCACCCCUCCGGCAACCCUCCUUCGUCCACGCCAUCACCCCUUUCCACACCGGCGCAGGAGGAGCUGAUGGUGGGGCGACCACUAGAUCGUGGGUGGAUGCCGGGAUCAAGUUGUUAGUGCGGCAUCACCAGAGUCAUGCUUCUCCAUGUUCCAACCGUACUGAUUUCUCAUCUAAGAUGGGCAACAUAAACAGAUCGAGCUUGGACAGCCAGGAGUGAGCUUGAAAGAGCUGGCGGAACCUGAGGAUCAGAUUUUUUUGGGUUCUAUAGUUGAUUCUGUUCAUUUAUAUCAAAUGGUCAAACAAUAUAGCCAAUCUGCUGAUAGAAAUUGUAUAUUUGGUCGGAAUCAUCACAAUAUUUUGAAGCAGAUACGGCAAGCUCAAACGUCACCCAGUGUAAUAAAACGGUACAACUGUUAUGUGGAAAACGGGGAUUUUGCGGGAGAGAGGAUUAACGUUGCAGAACACCCUUGGACCCUGGAGGUUAUAUGCUCGAGCAAGAACGGGUAGUGUAGAGAAGCUAUCAAGGCAAGGGCAUGAGAAACUCUUCAUGGUAGUGGUUGAGCUUAAGCUUUGGUGUUGGCCAUAAGAGGAGGAGGCUAUAUCGGCAGCAUCAGCGGCGGUGCACGUGAGGGCCAUGAUUCUACAACGUCGGGUCCAACACGAGGACUUUCUGUGCCACCUCUUUGCUGCUCGCACCUCUCUGAUGCCGCAACCACGCGUCGUCAGCAAGCUCCAUGGGCCAUGUGUACUCUCUCCUGGAUGCUUUCUCACCUCAUUGGCGUUGACACCCCUGGUACGUCUCUUCCGCAACAAACUCAAUGGAUGGUACGGUGAAGGUGUUGUGUACAUUUGAAUUUUCAAUGGUUGCACCUGAGUAUGGCGUGAUUGGCCUCGAAUCUUCUUCUCGAUUCGAUUUUGGGAUUCGAAUGAGGAUCUUCAUCUGUCGUUUCUUUUUUUGGCAUGCUCGUGCUCCUUCUCAUCGCCUACCUGGAACACCGUCGCCUCCGGCCCCAUCCCAAGUCCGACUAAAUAUUGAUGAUAAGGUAAGAUUUCUUCCACACUUCUGAUGUAGGCAUGAUGUGCAAAUUUUAGCAUUCAGUGUCGUGCUUUCGGAAAAAGUUAACAGUCAAUGAUUUUCAACGUUGGUCGCUGUGUGGCACUUAGACAUAACUCAGAGAUCAACUGAGGGUGUUAUCAAGGCUGAAGGGUUGCAUUACUUAAGGUAUAACCUUUGUCAGCAAGAAUAUCUGAGCCAAUAUUCCUCUGCCCUCAUUUUCUAUUCUGUAGCCUUCCAAGUGUUGUUUCAUUUGAUCCACUAGCUUUUCCAACUGUUGGUGGUUAUAGCUUGCUCAUGUUUAACUAUGAGCCUAUUAUCAAGCUGGAAUGAUGUGUUGUGAAAUUGCUGAUUAGUUUAUUAUAUGGUAUAGCUUUCAGUAUCCUUAAAUAAAAGCUUCGUUUUUGUUACGCAUUAUAAGGUCAUGAAAUCAACAUGACCAGGCUUCUGUAAGUCAUCUCUCUACCAAUUAUUUAUCUCGGCCUUUGGAGGCAAUCUGAAGCUCUCUAUCUUGCUCUAUAUAUUUCAUACCAUGUACUCUGUAUCAUAUCAUAAUUUUAGUAUAUGCAGGAACCAAUGUGAACAGGGGAGAGUUAUGAUGACAUGAGCCUCCAGGAGAGUCUUCUAGAUGCAUCGGCACCUAUGACAUGAGCCUUAUAUGCAUCUGCCCAUUCCUUUCAACUAUUUAGAGCAUCUUAGAAACCAAAGUACAUUUGUUAAAUCAAUUGUUAGGAGGAGAAUUUACUAUGUUGGAGUUGGCAAAGAGGAUCUGAUAUACAGUUCAGACUGCUGAAGAAAUUGCUGAAGUUGUAGAAGCGAAGCAUCCUUCCAUAGUGCGAGGUGUGAGAGCUAAUAUGAUACUCCCUCCGAUUCAAGGAAUAAGGCGUCCUCGUUUUACGUGCUUUUUGUUUGACCAAGAAUUGCUUCAAAUAUAUAAAUAUUUU